AGAAGGUGUGUCCAAACUUUUGGUCUGUACUGUAUAUAUAGAUGUGUGCACUUGGGAUGGAGUCCAAAACUUCCAAAGAACAUCCCAUAUUCCUUUCUGGAAGAAUAUCCAAAAUCUGAAUGUCAACCUUUGAACAACAUGUCCUUUUAGAAAUAAUAUUCUGUGCCUGCAGCCACCACUAGAGGGAGCUCAGGAGCAUACUGCAGACAAGUCACAUAGGAUAAAACCUUAUGCAGCACGCUUCUCUGCUCUGCAAUUUGGCGUUUAACCUGGUAUCCGUCUGUCUUCUAUCUCAUACUCCAGGAAGCUCAGAUAUGAGGAGCUGUAGGGUGAGCUCCUCACACUGUAGAGACCUCCUUUCCCCCAACAGGCUCCACAGAAUUUUUACCUGAUAUAACACAAGGCAAAUGGUCAUGGAGUCCUAAGGAGUUAUCCAGCAAAAAGCAUUUAUCACCUUAUCCACACGAUAUAUGAUAAAUUUAUCAUCUGUGACAACCGCCGCAGGCACCAAGAAUGGAUUCUAGCGUGGUUGUCACCCAGUAGCUGGCAUCCAUUAAAAGCAAACAGUCACUUUUUUUUACGGUGCCACUAAACCAGAGUGCUGUUAUAGUAAUUGGAAAU